UUCCGCUUGCAGAAGAGUUCACGGUUUACUUCCUUCAACGUGGUUUUAAUAUUACAGAAAGUCGUCUUUUUUUUUGUUGUUGUUUAUGUUUGGAAAUGGGUCGAUCCUCUAAAACUUGUAGAUCUAAAUUAUAUUCAGAUCAACAUGUAAAAGACCUUAUUGAUUCAGAUAACAAUAGACUUACAAUAUAUCAGGCUUUAAGCACUUAGCUGGAUAAAAGAAGUAACAGAAAUGGGCCUAUCUUUCUAAAAUGAGUUUAGAGAGAAAAGUAUUUUAUCAGCAACUAUAUACCAGCUAGACCAAACUUUUUUUGUCAUUAUACCAAAGAUGGCCCACAUUUAAUUAUUUAUAAGAAAUGCUCAAGAUGAAAGAUGUCUUAAGGACAAUUUACUUUUCAAACCUGAAACCUAAAAACCAAAAUAUAAAUACUCGGAAUCAGGUAUUAACUAUCCACCUCUUGUGAAAAUAUUGGCUACUGUCAAGGCUUACAUUGAAUCUCUACCACUUUUAGAUGAGCCAGAAAUGUUUGGGCUCCAUGAGAAUGCAAACAUAGCCUUUCAGUUGAAUGAAACCAAUGCUAUACUUGGUCUUAUGGUGUUGUCUUAUGGGAACUGUUGACAGAAGAAGUACCCUACAAAGAUGUGGAUUCUUCUGCUAUCAUCUGGGGAGUGGGAAGCAAUAUCCUUCACCUUCCUGUUCCAGGCACUUGCCCAGAGGGCUUUAAAUUGCUGAUGAGGCAGUGCUGGUAUUUUAUGCCUCAUGGUAUUACAGCGGACCAUCAAGGAAAUAUUUGGUUAACAGAUGUAGCAAUGCAUCAGGUUUUUAAAAUACCACCAGGUCAGACUGUACCAAAAAUGACACUAGGACAGAAGUUCCAACAUGGUGAAGAUACAAAUCUUUUUUUGUAAACCUACUGAUGUAGCUGUUCUUAUGUCUGGAGAGUUUUUUGUAUCUGAUGGGUACUGUAAUAGCAGAGUUCUGAAAUUUUCCAAAGAUGGAACUUUUUUGAUGUCCUUUGGGAAAAGGAAUGUUCAGUUUGGUGCAGGAGGUUUACUGUAUGCUGUGAAUGGUCCUGCUUUUGAUGGCCCCACUGAUACACUGUCCAGGGUUUCACAUCAGACAUAAAUACUGGAGAUUUGUUGGAAAUGUGGAAUGUACCAGAUGUAAAGUUCUAUUUCAUGUGACAACAAAACUCAGCUUAGUUUAACUACAAAUAGCUAAUCUCUCUCAUUGUAACAUAAUUUAUCAAAGUUAUGUUUUAUUUAUUUAUUCUUAUUCAACUUUUACAAAGUAAAAAUGUUUUGAAUGUAUUGACCUCGUGGGAAACUACAUUAAAAUCUCCACAAUCUUUCAGAACAUGCGAAACUCACAUUAUGUAGCAGCAGAUCCAGUAACACAUAGCAUCUAUGUAGGGGAAUUGGACCCUGAAAGUGUUUGGAAGUUUAGCAGACCUGUUACAGUACAGUCAAGUUCACAGCAUAACAAAGUUGAGGAAAGUACUCAGAGCCAGUUACUGUCAGCAAUCCAUUGGACCAGAGUGAAACCAAUACCACAGAGUUGUCUGAGGCUAUCAAAGAUAGCAGUGAUGUCUCUCCCUCUGUCAUCAAUUGGCAUCUUACUUGUGGAAAAUUUAAAUGUUAUGGACAUGGAAAGAAGGGAAAGGUUUUUAACCUUAAAGGCUUUACUUGGCAUUCUCAUAAAGGCUUUGAUAGACUUAGUACUGAGGAAAGUGAUCAUGAGGUUGACCCAGAUGAUUUAGAUGAUAAAGACUAUUUGACACCUCCCAAGACGAAUAAAGCAUAGCCUCAAGUUCAAGGCUGACUAAAUUGUGUAAAUUAAUCUUUUUUUUUCUUUGUUAUUAGUUGGUCAUAUCAUAAUAUUCUGCCUUUACAGUCAGGGUUUAAACUUGUUUACAUGUUGAAUCUGAUACCAACUAAAUCUCAUAAACACAUAAUUAACCAUAGACCCACCUCAUGUAAAAAAAAAAUGUUUUGUAAAAUGUUUUACAUAUUUCGGAUGUUCUUUCAGAGUUGAAGAUAGUUUACUUCCUAUUCCAAAUCUCCCGCAGGACGACGGGGGAUGGGAGCGGGCAGGGUUUGAACCCGGGACCAUCGAUAAAUCCAAACGACAGUCCAGCGUGCAAACCGCACGACCAGGCAGCCAUAUUACAUGUUAUUAGUUGUAAGUUGUAUUACAAUAACUAAGUGAUUUUGAGCUCAUAAAAUUUCAAAAUAAAAUUAUAAAAUGCUUUUGUCAUUCUAAAAAAGAAAAAAAGAUUACUAUGUUGGAUUUUUUUUGGAUAGCAAAGGCUAUUUGACCUUUUUAUUUCAAUAUGUGAUAUCAAAAUUUUUAAUUCAUUAAUUUGUUUAAUAUUUGUCGAAAGUUUGCUUUUGAAUAAAAUAUUUAUCAGCAUUAUUAUCAUUUAAUAAGUAUAUUUUGUUUUUUAAUUUUAUGAAUGAUUUGAUGUUAAAAUGCCAGGUCAUUUACAAAGCACACGCCUGCCAACUUUCUUUUUGCAUUGAUUCUCAAAACUUAAUUAGCUACCAAAUGAUUAUUUGCUCACUUGGUUGUGAUGAUUCAACAUUCCUGUUAUGUUCCACCAUUUCCUUCUUCAAUUCUAAAGCUGGCUUUAUUUCAUCUAGUGAACGUACCAUUAGUGUUAGUGACCCUGGCAAACUAGCCAUUUUAUGCACAAUUUUAAAAUGUUCAUAUGGAUAAUAUGGUUAGUUUUUUUAUAGCAUUUUUGACUACAUGGAGUUCCAGACAACUUUCCAUGUUGCUGGUCCCUUUCUCAUGUCAUUAUUAAAUCUUAUUUAAAAAACAAAAAAAACUUGUUAGAUGGUAACAUUGUCCAAAUUGUUACUAGUUUUAUGUAAUGUGUUUGAAAACUAUGACUUCCUUAGAUUGACUACUAGACGCUCAUUCAUGUAUUGCAUUUCUUUAUUUUAAAAUCUUGUUAAGGCUUGUUUAAAAUCUCUCGACACUCAACUUUUUAUGCCAUAUUACAAUGUUUAUUUGUUAAUUCAAUUGUUUAGUCAAAUGUUUGUUUUCCAAAGUGUUACUAUUUGGUGCAAUCAAAAUAUUUAGUGGCAUUUUACAUACAAACACUGGUAGUUGAAAUCAGUAGCACAUUUUAGCUAAUUUCUGAUGAAUCAAAAUAAAAAUGUCAUGAUAUAAAAAUAAUUUUAAAUUUAAAAACCUAAAUGAAAAAAAUUGUAUUUUUUGUAAAUAUAGUUACAGUUAUAUUGAAUAGAAUUAUUUAUGUUAGCAACUUUUGAAUGCAUCACAUAAUUUUAAUUUGACACAGAAACUGAAAAUCAUUUCAAUUAAAGAUUGUUGACUGUUGUUUCACCUCAGAUGAAUUGAUUACAUUUUAAGAGGUUAUCAGAUAUUUAUAUUAUGACAUACAAUUUUUUUGUUAUGUUAUGAGUUGUUUUUGUUUUUAUUUUCUACAUGUUCAGGGUAUAAAGUUCUAGUGCAUACAUACGUAGAUUUCAACCCACAUUUUUUUAGUUCUUACUUAUGUAUUUACAUACAUGUACUAAGAACUAAUAUGAAAUUACAACUUAAUCAUUUUUUGUGUGAUUUUUAUGUAUUUGAACCAAUUUUUAUUUUAAAUUAGCACAAGUUAAAUCUGUUGAUCAGAAUUUUUUUCCUUGGUAAUAGUUAUAUUUAUACUCAAACCCAUUUGAUGUUACUUCUGCAAAGAUUUAUAGACACUCAGAGGAAAUGAUAUUAGCAUGGUAGACACAGUUAAACUUUUAAGGCAGAGUUUUGGAAUUAAAGCUAAAAUUUUAAAAUAAAUCAAAAACAUUGAUAAACAAGCUGUUUACUGCUAGUUUAGUGCAUCAAUCCAUUGUCUGCUUUUGAUUUAGUCUUUGGUUCUUGAUUUCUAUGCUGCACUGUCAAUAACUUUACUUUUUUUAAGCAGUUCUAUUAAUCUCUUUCAAAUACUAUUUGCUUGUACUAAUCAGAAUGUAAGAUUUAAUGGGUUUGAUAUUUGUUUCAACUGGUGAUGGUCCCCCUAAAGUAUUGUAUUAGUACUUCAAAACUUACUUAUGUACAGUUUCAUUAAUCAAUUAUAUUUUUAGGCUGUUGAAGGUUUAUCAAUUGAUUUUUUUUUUUAUCUGGUGGAGACAUUUAACCAUUUUGUUUUUGCCACAAAAAAAAAAUUCAACUUGUCUGUUGUGAAAAAUGAAAUCAAAAGUGAAUGAUCAUCUAGUCUUUGAAAGUUCAAAAUAUUUGUACUACUUUAUUGAUGUCAUGUACUCACAUAAUAUUUGUGUGUUAGUGUUUGUCUUAACAUGUUGAUGUUGUUUUGUGAUAUCUACAUCAACAUUGUCUCUUGUUGGUGGGGUAUGCAAGACAUUGGUUCUAUGCUGUUGGUAAAAAUUUCUCAUCCUUCAUUGACUUCCAUUGUACUCCACCUUGCACUUAGAGUGUUUUAUGGAGUGCUAGAAAUCUAAAAAGUAUCCCAGUCAUAAUAGAAGUUUAUAGAUUUUUAAAACUUACCACAUUCAGAGCAUUUCAUUUUUACUUUGCUCUUUUUUUUAUUGUGUAUGUUCUUAAUUGUAAUCAACAUCUGACAGUGCUACAUAAUGUUUUAUUUAAUGACUGAGCAUAAUGCUUAAUUUGAUUUUAAUGUGGCUAAGAUUCAAGAAACAUGUUUAUAAGUUCAUUGCUAAAAACACCUGGUGCAGAGUCAAUGACUUUCAAAAUAGGGAUGUCAUUUGUUUCUCAAAUGUUAGUAGCAUAGAAAACAUAGACUGUGUGGUCUAUUUAUCUUAAUGUGUGUUUGAUGUAUUGUAAGUGAUCAUAUGUAACAGUUAUGGGUAUAGAGAAUAAAAUACAAAAUAUUUAA